rnacentral:rRNA from 1 species
UACAGAGGGCGCAAGCGUUGUUCGGAUUCACUGGGCGUAAAGGGUGCGUAGGCGGUCUGGUAAGUCUGAUGUGAAAUCUCACAGCUUAACUGUGAAACUGCAUUGGAUACUAUUCGGCUUGAGUGUUGGAGGGGGGACUGGAAUUCUUGGUGUAGCAGUGAAAUGCGUAGAUAUCAAGAGGAACACCAGUGGCGAAGGCGAGUCCCUGGACAACUUCUGACGCUGAGGCACGAAAGCUAGGGGAGCAAACAGG